GCGCAGCAGUCGCGAAAACUUUACAAUGUGCGAAAGCACGAUAAGGGAACUCUGAGUGCCUCCUAAGGAGGCUGUUCUGAUGUCUAAAAAGCAACAGAAGUAAGGGCUGGGUAAGACCGGUGCCAGCCGCCGCGGUAACACCGGCAGCCCAAGUGGUAGCCACGUUUAUUGGGUCUAAAGCGUUCGUAGCCGGCCAGGUAAGUUCCUUGGUAAAUUUAGCCGCUUAACGGUUAAGCUUUCAGGGAAUACUGCUUGGCUUGGGACUGGGAGAGGUCAGAGGUACUCCGGGGGUAGGGUGAAAUCUAUUAAUCCCUGGGGGACCACCGGUAGCGAAGGCGUCUGACCAGGACCAGGUCCGACGGUGAGGGACGAAGGCUAGGGGCGCGAACCGGAUUAGAUA
rnacentral:rRNA from 1 species